CUUGAUUUUUGAAAACAGUGAGAAAUUUGCAGUGGAAAUUUAGCUUGAUCCAGAUUCCAGAACAAAGAAAAAGGUAAAAUAAUGAUUGCACAUUACACCAAAUAGGUUCUCCAUGAUAAAAACAAGUUUGAUUGAUGAAAAUAAAACAGCUGUUACCGUGUUGGGCGCCUCUUCCAAGUCUGUUAUACGUGACCGUGUUGAAAUAUGAUACUUUUUCUUAUACUAUCAACAUAUUGCACUGAUACAAGGUAUUUUAGCCAUAAUGUGUGUUAUUUGAAUCCAUUUAUCAAAUUGCGUGAUUAACUUGUGUUGUUUCUGAAGAUAUAUGCAAUUAAAAAUAAGUAAUAACUAAAAAGUAAAAAAAAAAAGGGGGAGGGGUGCACAGCCACAAGUACUUUUUUUCUAUCUGUGACAAGAGCUACUAUCCCUAUAUAUUAAGGCUACAAGUGUCUUUUGCUCUGUUAUUUUUUGAUUAUCAUUGAAGCAUAAAAGUCUUAUCCAUGUUAUCAAUAUCAGAAGAAAAAUGUGAAGCUAAACAUCUCAGCACUUUAGAUAUCUGGGUCCAAUACAAACUCAUCACAUUUCAAACUUGGCAUAUUACCAACUCGGCCUAUUAAUGAUAAUACUGCAUAUAUCACUGAGGGUGGUCGCUAACAUGCAUGAAAUAUUUGCCACUGGAUGUUGAGCAACAAACGAUCAAACAUUGUAUCACUGGGUCUGACAUGGAAAUAGACAAUUGUGCCAAUAAAGAUGUUGUAAAAUAUAGGCGUCACAGAAAAAAAAUAAGACAGCCAUCAAAGUUGUCGUAAUGGGACUAGGUCGUUGUAGGAAGGCGUCUCAGAAAAAAAUAAAAAAACAGCCUUCCAAGUUUUGAAAGUGUCAUAAUGAUUUAAACUAGGAUCUAGCCUUGAAAGUUGGGUAAAAAAUUCUUGUUUUCAGGGUAAAACCCAGUUUACAGGUGUUUAAAAAAACAGUACAUAGGGACAUCUUUUUUGCUGUACAAUUUAUAGUAUGAAAUCUACAUGUUUAUCAAUGACGAGCUACAUGUACAAUCACUAAAUAUGUGAUCAGAAACAAUGUUGUAAUCAAUCAUAAAACAUAUGAAAUUUGGAAUGCAUUUAAAUUUGUCACUUUGUUCUCCUAAAGAUUUGUUGGACUAACAUGCAUACAUUUUUUUUUUAUAAAUAAGGCGGUGAAUUUUCUCGUUUGAAUUGUUUCACAUUGUCAUUUCGGGGCCUUUCAUAGCUGGCUAUGCGGUAUGGGCUUUGCUCAUUGUUGAAGGCCGUACGGUUACCUAUAAAUGUUAAUUCCUGUGUCAUUUUGGUCACUUGUAAAGAGUUGUCUCAUUGGCAAUCAUACCACAUCUUCUUUUUUUAUUUGAAACAGACAGAAGAAUAUAAAAGAUAAUUGAAUGUAUUUUUUAUUUUUUUCCAGAGUCUUGUAUAUAAAUCCACAGAUCCAAUGUGUCUGAGGUUGAGGAAAUCAUUGCAGUAACCAUGUAACAGUUAAGCAUGCACCAGCUCAAAAAUUUGGACCAAGAUUUUAAAAAGGUAAACAUCAGUUGAUCAGCUCUUUUUAUGUCCUCCUUAACUGAGUGAUAUAGUUUAAGGUAGAUGGGGUGUCUAAAUUAUAAUCCAUAGAAUCUUUUAAUAAUUUGCCAAAAUGUAGUUCAUAUCCUGCUUGUUUAAAAACAUUAAUAAAAGAAUGGGUCACCAGACUUAUUUUCCACGCUACAGGUUGUUCAAAAAUUGUCAAGAUUUUGUAUAGAUUAUGCAUGGAAAACCCAUUUUCCGCCAUAAAAACGCAAACCACACCAUAGAAUUUUGAGGUAAAAUAUGAGAAGAUAGCUUCAAUAUUAUGCUUUCAGAUAAGAAAAAGAAAAAAUGGGGUCACCGGACUCGUUUUCUUGCUACAUGUAAAAAUGGGUAAAUUCCUAACACAUUCUAUUGUAAAAGUAACACUAUCUGGAUUAUCUGCUCUUGCAUUUGAGUUGCCUCCCCUUAUUUGACAAAGUUGGAAAAAAAUGAAUCAAACAAAAGAAUUCUUAUUUUUGUAAAAUACAAUUAUAAAUAUGAUCAAACAUGGCAUUUUCUAUAUUAUAAUGAAAAUUCUUACACAUGAAUUACCUACUACUAUAAAAAUUUGCACAUUUCAUCAAAGAUCUAGACCUUGUUUUCUAGUAUUUCAAAAUCCAAGAUGGAGGAAGACACCCUAUCUACCUUAACUCUUGUACUGUACGUACAUACAUGUACAUUGAACUCAAAAUUGGAUUCUGUUAUCUAACGUUUGCCUAAACCACGUAUUAUGCAACCAAUACACAACGCUUAUUAUCAUAAAACGCAGAGUUUGAAUUUGGAGAGCAUCUGCUUUACUGUUCUCUAGAUAUGUCCUUUAAAUUAAGUUUGAUAAGAUCAUUUGUGGCUCAUGGACACAUUCUUCUUAUAUUAAUUUUAUUUAUCAAAUUAUAAUUUGUUGAUUUUAUAGAUUGCGUUCAUUGGCAUAUGCUAUGAGGUCUUGUUGUAUCGAUAUUAUUAUUUGUAGAAUAACCACUGGUUGCUCAAGAAAAUAUUAUGUCCCCUCUCCCCCAGUGAAAGCUAUUUUCUUAUAUUUUAUUUGGGGGUGGUUGUAUAUGAAAUACCAAAAUGCAAAGGGAGUGUUGCUCUUAUUAAUUUUUAAUUCUGUCGGUGCUGGGAUUUUUUUUUUAAAAAGGGCUUAGGGCUGUCCCUUAGGGGCGGACAUAGUAUUUUCUGAAACAGACAUAAUUUUAUUAACACAUGUUCAAUUUAACAACAAAUUAUUUUUUUUAAAUAAGAACAAAGGUUAAUAAUAAGUUAUGAAUAAUUAUAUACUGUUGAAAUUGUGUUAAAUUUCUAACAUACAUCAUCAAAAUGUGUAUAAUUGGCAAAGAUACAAACAUCUCAGUAACAACACAACAUAAUUAUGAAUCUGCAGUUUAUUAUAGGACCAGCAAUAGAAAAAUAUUGAUUAUGUUUAAACACAGGAUAUUUUUUAAGAACUGCUGUAAUUCAUAAGUUGGGAUCAAUUAAUUUUUUUGUAUUUUAUAAUUUAUGAUUUUUUUUUCAGAGAUCUGAAACCAACACAAGACCAGCUAGGUCAAUAUUCCUAAUGCGC
rnacentral:lncRNA from 1 species